rnacentral:rRNA from 1 species
GAUGAACGCUGGCGGUAUGCUUAACACAUGCAAGUCGAACGGUCACUUCGGUGAUAGUGGCGGACGGGUGAGUAACGCGUGAGAAUCUGUCUUCAGGUCGGGGACAACAGUUAGAAAUGACUGCUAAUACCGGAUGUGCCUCUGGGUGAAAGAUUUAUUGCCUGAAAAAGAGCUCGCGUCAGAUUAGCUAGUAGGUGGUGUAAGAGACUACCUAGGCUCCGAUCUGUAGCUGGUCUGAGAGGACGAUCAGCCACACUGGAACUGAGACACGGUCCAGACUCCUACGGGAGGCAGCAGUGGGGAAUUUUCCGCAAUGGGCGAAAGCCUGACGGAGCAAUACCGCGUGAGGGACGAAGGCUUUUGGGUCGUAAACCUCUUUUCUCAAGGAAGAUGAUGACGGUACUUGAGGAAUAAGCAUCGGCUAACUCUGUG